CGCGCGAGCGCCGGGCAGGGCGGCGGGCGCGUUCAGUCUGGCGGCGGCGGCCGUGCGCUGACGGACGUGCCCGAAGCGCCGCAGCCGCCCGCAGCCGAGCCCGGCCGCGCCCGCCCGCUCGCCCCCCGCCAUGGUGGCAUGGAUCAUCUCCAGGCUGGUGGUGCUGAUAUUUGGCACCCUUUACCCUGCGUAUUAUUCCUAUAAGGCCGUGAAAUCAAAGGACAUUAAAGAAUAUGUCAAAUGGAUGAUGUACUGGAUUAUAUUUGCACUUUUCACCACAGCAGAGACAUUCACCGACAUCUUCCUUUGUUGGUUUCCAUUCUAUUAUGAACUAAAAAUAGCAUUUGUAGCCUGGUUGCUGUCUCCUUACACAAAAGGCUCCAGCCUCCUCUACAGGAAGUUUGUACAUCCCACGCUGUCUUCAAAAGAAAAGGAAAUCGAUGAUUGCCUGGUCCAAGCAAAAGACCGAAGUUACGACGCCCUUGUGCACUUCGGAAAGCGAGGCUUGAAUGUGGCCGCCACGGCGGCAGUGAUGGCUGCUUCCAAGGUGGCUCGACUCUUUCCUUUUGUCUCCUCUUUGGACCUCAGAGAAGGGCAGGUAACCCCGUGGAGAGGUGUGACUAACUCCAAACUGAUCCAGUUGGGGAGAGAGGCCAGCAGCCGCCUCUGCCCACCAGCCACAGGCGGUCUGGAUCCGAGCCCGGGACAAGGUGCCUUAUCAGAGAGACUCCGGAGCUUCAGCAUGCAGGACCUCAGCACCAUCAGGGGAGAUGGCGCCCCAGCUCCCUCAGGUCCACCCGCACCGGGGCCUGGGCGGGCCAGCGGCAAACACGGCCAGCCCAAGAUGUCCCGGAGUGCUUCUGAGAGCGCUGGCAGCUCAGUGUGUUCCUGCUGCUCCGCCUGCAGGACCCGGAAAGGUGAGUGCACAGCCAGGCAGCCUCCCUGCAGCGUGUGGGACUCGCCAGCCCCCAGAGGAGGCUCUAACCCUGAGCUGGUGUCUGACCCUGGGGCUCCCUUUCGGCUGCAGGGUCUAGGGGGUGGAGUUAGGCUAACUCCUUAAAGCAGCAAACAGGUAUUCUCUUACAGUAAAUACAGGCUAGAAAUUUGGGAGUGGCUUAAGUGGGUGGUUCUGGCUCAAGGGCCUCUCAAGAGUUGUGGCCAGGAUGCCGGCUAGGGCUGCAGGCAUCUGAAAGCUUGACUGAAGGUGGCUCUCUUGUGGCUGUUGGCUCGAGGCCUCAGAUCCUUACCACGGGGGCCCCUCUAGGGCAGCUUGAGCGUCCUUACAACAUGGCCACCGGCUCCUCCCAGAGCGAGUGAUGCAGGAGAGAGAGGGCAGAUGGGACACCCCCACUUCUGCCUUUUGCUCUUUGCUGGAAGUGAGUCAUUAAGUCUAGCCCACACUCAAGGGGAGGAGAGUUCCUCUCCUCCUCUUCAAGGGAGGGGUAAUGAACAUGGCUGGAGCUAUUUUCAAACCAUCAUGGGGUCUCAGUUCCUUGUGCUUUGGGCGAUGAGGACACAAGCACUUAGCCAGGUCCUCUGGAGCAAUGAAGCCCUGUGGUUCCAGGGGUUUCUGCUCCUGUGCAGCCCAGGGAGCCCUGGUCCUGCUUUGCCACUUACCAGCAGUGUGACUGUGUGCAAGUCACCUAACCACCCUAAGCCUUGGUUUCCUUCAAAUAGUGGUGAAGAUCCCCGCUUCCCCACUUGGCUGUGCUGUUGUGAAGAUGGCUGUGAAAGGGCUUGUUGAAGGGUGACGAUGUUUACUGGAGACCUGGGGGUGGGCGCAGGUCUGGACUCUCCCAGGCCAGGGCAGGGCCCCCUGCUGCCACCCUCCUUGGGUGCAGGUGAUGGCUUGGCCUGGUCGUUCUCUCUUGACCUGCUCCUGCGCUUUCCCUGAUCUUAACUAGACUCGCCAGGGAGCAGAGAUGGUGCUGUGCUAACUCAGCCCGCCCUGCACCCCCGAUGAAGAAGAGGGGCUACCCCUAGCCUGUAGCUGCUGCCUGGGGUGAGGGGAGGAGGUAGCCGUGCCUGGUGCCCAUUGAGGCCCGUGCCCCCAGCCUGGGCACCUCUGACACACGGCCCGUGCCUCCCGCAUCAGUGGAGAGCAGAAGGACCUGGAACUGCAUUCUAGGCAGGGUCCUGUUUUCCCUUUAUUUCUUGAGUUUCAAGACUUUCAGUGCUGGAGUUCCUGCUGCGGCGCAACGGGAUCGGCGGUGGCAUCUUGAGAGCGCCGGGACGCAGGUUUGAUGCCCAGCCUGGCACAGUGGGUUAAGGAUCCGGCAGUGCCACAGCUGCAGCAUAGAUUGCAGCUGUGGCUCAGAUCUGAUACCUGGCCCAGGAACCUGGCCAAAAAAGAAAAGACAAGCAAACAAAAAAAACAAGAAAAGAAAAUCCACUGUAAGACUUGUAGUGCUAAGGUUUUUAAAGGUCUACAGAAGACCUAGGGGUUUGGGAGGCCUAAGGCUAACGUGAACUGAUGGCCCGGGGAGUCCGGAGCAGAGGGUUGUGGAGACCAGCAUCCUGCAGAAACGCAGGAGCUUGUAUAUUGUCCCCAAGGACAGAAGAAACGGAGAGGCUGCGCUCAGCUGUGUCCAGCACUGGCGGCCCAGACUCGGGCCUGGUGGCGGUGCUUGUUCAUGGCAGACACAAUCACAGCGUCCCAGUGGCCCCCGGCAAUCAUGGUCAUUUCUGUCUACUCACUCUUUACAGUUUUGAGUUUGUAAGUUCCGUGAGCCACUCAGAAAGCCUCUCCUUCUGGGAACCUCUUGCUUGGGGGACCAGGGAGAGCAGAAGAGGAGACCUGCCUUCUCCUCCGUUCUUGCCUCCUGGGCCUGCUCCGUGCUGCUCUCUGGGGAGCCCCCACCCCCACCUCUCCAGUGCACUCCAGUAGCAUCACAGCGCAGUGUGGGGAUUGAGGGGAGUUUGGUCCUCCUGGGAGUUGCAGGGAUAGGGGGUUGCUGGGGACUGGGCAACAGGCGGGAGGCGGUGGAGGCCUCCAGCUGGGGUGGCCCUGCUCAGAGUCGGGCUCUGGAUGUCUCUGCCCCAGCCCUGCCUUUCCCAGCCCUCCUGACACCUAGGGACCUGGACUUCCUCCCCCACCUCCCAAGGUCUGCUUUCCUGGGACCGGCUGAUAAUCUGUCUACACCAUUUCCCUCUGUGACUGUGGGGAAGCCCCUAGCUCUCCAGGCCUCAGUUUCCCCUUCUGCAAAAUGGGGGCAUGGAGCUUAUUGCCCCUCGGGCCCUUCCAGCUCUGAUCUGAUGUGUGAGGGAAGAGGACCAGGUGUGAGGAGCAUGGGAGGAGUUUUGUCUUACACUGGGGCCAGGCAGUGAUGAUUUCAGAGAGUCACGGAUGGUUUGGUUAGAGGCGUCCUCCUGGUCCCCCAAAACAGUUCUCAUCUGAGCAGCUCAGGCCCCAAGAGAACAUCCUGCUCCCUUCCUGCCCCGCCGUAGAUUGCUCCCUGUGGUUUCCUGCACAUCUGGCUCUUUUUCUGUGCUUCCAUCAUUCCCUCUCUCUCCCACCCCUGCCGCCCUCUCUCCUCGCUUUUCUCUCUGCCUCCUUUGAUGUUGGAGAACUGCUACAGCUUGGGAUGAGUCAGAGAGGUGGGGUUUUGUCCCUCCCUGCCUCAAAUCAAAUGGAUGGGACAUCAUUUUUUAAAAAAGCAAAGGCAUCCCUUUCUAUCCUGUCUAUUUAAAAACCGAGACAAUUGCAUCCUUCUUGAGUGUGGCCCUGGGGCAGCUUCUUCCCUUAGCAGCAGGAGCCGUCAGAAGUCGAGAGCGUGAGAAGUGUGACUGUGUGUACGUGUGUGCCUGCACGAACACUCCCUGCACACGUGUGUGUCUUUCAUCCCUGGAGGUCCUGCCCUAACAGAAUAUUCUUUUCUUUCUCCUCGGUGGCUGUCGGGGACGCGGAUAUUGUAAAUGGACUUUAAGUGGUUGAGGGAGAUGUGAAUGAGGGUGGUGUGAAGGCCUGGGAGCCCCACCAGGUCCACAACCCCUUGGCGUUUUCUGACGAGGAGGAGGAAGACCUGCUGGAUUUCAUGUACAAGUUUAAGGAACCUCGAAAGACGGAGUUCCCCCUGGAGGCACCGCCUAGAAUCCUUCGAUCUCGCUUCAGGAAGAAAAGUACCUCAUCCUCGGCCACUGAAACCACGUGAGUGAGAUGAGCCAACAGCACCGGAUCCACAGAAUGUUUCUUCUCUGCCUUAAAGAGCUAUUUAUUCACUCAUAACAUAGAAACCCCGCAAGCUGGUGUGCUGAGCGUGCAGCCUUGGACAUGGCCUUUUCUCUCCCCCAUCUUCCACUUUUAAGAGCCGCCCCCCCCUUCCUUUCCUUUAUUUUGCUGGGGAGAGGCUGAAGGGAAAGGUAGUGUGUGGGGAGGGUGUGAUCUUUAAAUCUUCUGAGGUUAGUAACUUCCACAAUUGGGUUGUCAUUACAGAUGGCAGGGUUUUUAGAAGUAGACAAGAACCACCCCACACUGCUGAGAUGUACAUUUGUAAUUUAUUUGUUGCAUACUUUGUUUUUAGUCCUGUAUAUGCAAACAAAGCAAUUUUUAAACCCCCCCCCCUUUUGUUGUUCUUGGUACUAAUACUUUGGACUCUGAUGUACAUAUUUACGGCUUUCGGCUUAAUAUAGUGGGCUUGCAAGGGCUGCCAGAGGUUCUAAUGUGCAAGAAAACUGCAAAAACAGAAGUGUAAGAAAUUAUUUUGAUCCUAGAGAAUGUCUCAGACGUGCUUUUGAAGCUUCCAAAUACAGCUUGAGUACAACACCCCUUUCCCUGCAGGGUGAUGGUCCAUUCGCUUCAGCCAGUCAGUCAGUAUACCAGAGACGUUCAGAAUGAAGAGAGACAAUAUUUUAGUGACAGAGGUGAGUGGAAUGAAGUCAGGGGAACAGCCUAGAAUACAAGUUACAGGAAGCUCAUCUCCCCCAGGGAUCCAGGCUGAGGAGUCUCUGAAUCCUUCUGGAGGAUUCACGUAUAGCGCUGUUGUGGGGAAUCGCUGAGGGUUUCCAGUGCCUGACGACAACUGUUUCUCCUUCACAGUAUCCAGGGCUCUGACUGGUUUCCCCAGGGAGAGGAGCCUAUCGUCGGAGCGCCCUGUUUUAGAGAAAGCUAAGCAAAACCCAACUGAUCCACUCAAACACACCUAGAACUGCGCUUUGUUGCAGAUAGGCCAUGAAGUGAUUCUGAGACACCUGGGGAACGAUCCACAUGCUGGGUUCUCGAAAGGUCCUUAGAGGUUGAGCUCUUCAUGGACGUGGCCUGCAGCUCCACGGGGCAGCUGUGGCUCGCGCCCCCUGUUCCCUACCUGGCUUGUGCAGAAUGUGGACGAGAAAGCAGCAUGCUCGUGGGCACUCCGAUUUUACCCAAGUCUGGAUCGCUUAGUUAGAGAACAAGUAUCUUCUUAGUAUCUGAGGAGACUCCCUUCUUAGGUUGAGAAUUUUAUGUGGAAAGAAGAAUCUGGCUUCAGUAGCAUUUUGGUCUGAGGCAGCUGCUCUCCACUGGGAGAGCUGAGCCUAAACGUAGGACUCGUAUACUUGUGCUUAGAGUUGGUGUUUCCGUUCAGUGUGAUGCAUGCUGUGGCCACAACCCAGUUACUUAUAAUCCGUGGAUUGUCUUUGUUCAUAGAUAAGCCCCGAACACGAGAGAAUUAGUGUUAUGUACCACAGAGAACUUCCCCUCAAUCAGCUGUGGACAGGCCCAGUUAAAGACUGUUCCCUGACUGAGCUACGUGAACAUACAUCAGUCUUUGCUGAUGACACACUGGCUGGAUCUUAGCUGCCUCGGAAAGGGUUUUACUUGAUUGUUACCAGAUAUGCAUAUUUAAAUCCCUUCUCCCCACGAUGCCUCUGAAGGUGACUUUGUAAUUUACAAAAGGAUUUAGGAAAAUAAACCUAAAGGCAAAUUUGCAGUUCAGAGGGCAAAUAGAGGCUGCCUAUUCAUUGUCUGUGUCCCCCACUCACCAAUACCUAACCUGCCCCCACACCCCUGACCCAGGGAGGACAGAAACCUUGUUUUCUUCAAGCUCACUGAAUAGUUUCAGACAGAGGGAAAAUAUAUGCUUUAAAAUGUAUUUACUUGUUACUGGGAGUACCCAGAAUUAUCAGAAACAAAUGCAAAAAAAGCUUAAGCAGCUUUUUAAUAACCUUUUUUUUUUCUUUUUGCCAAAAUAAUCAAUGCCUUUAGCAGCAGAGAUUCAAAUCCUAUUGUGAACAAGCUAUAUUUUCACCAUUUUACAAUGGAGACUCUUCACAAGUACGGGCUAUUAAGUUUGCACUCAACUAUGCCAAAAACAAGCUCAAAGCACUCUACUCUCAGACGCGCUGUAUUACGUCUCACUUAAGAUUUAAAAAUAUAAAGGUAUCCAAACUGCUGUCUUAAUGUAACUAUUUCUCCUUCCAGUGUUGGUUAGGGAGUUCAGUUUUCUCUCUUAAAAACACUCACUGUACAACUGAGAGCAGCUGUCAUUAUUUCUGGCAAAACGUGUUUACUUAUGCAACAAGCUGUGUAUUUGUGUGUGGAUGGACGUAAAAUGUGAAUGCCUCGAAGUGUACAUGUAGUGGCGUGGCGUUCUGUCUAGAGGAUCAGACUGAAUGUUUUAAAUUUGCCCGUUUACGGACACAGGCUGUUUACAAACUGCUGGCUGGAAAGUCUAAUUUUCACGUGGCCACUUUUCAGUUCUUCGCCGUUGAGCACCCGUCCUGCGUCGGAGGCGAUGAGAUGUGGUGGUGGACUUAGAAACUGGAGAGUUAGGCAUACUCCCUCCUGGCUUUGUGUGAAUAGCUUGCUCACUUCACUGGCCUCUGAAACGUGUGUUCUCUGUAGUAAACUGUCCAUGUGUUCGUGAUAACAGUGCUUGUCAACCACGACCAGCCUCGAGUUCCUUCCCAGUUGUGUACCUGGCACAGUCAGAAACGAUGAAGGAUGUGCCCGUUUGCAGCGGCACACACCCAGAGAGCUGACGUCCUGGACCGUGACUGUGCCUGUUUCCCCUUUGUUUAUUUCUGUAAUCCCUAUAGAACGACCUGUAAUAAAAUAGUAUACUGGUCUGUGCAUUAAAGGGUUGGUUGUAAAGUUACAGUAUUCCAAAGGUUGAAGUUCUGCUGUUUUGUUACAAUGCCUGAUAUAUAUCUUGAAUAAAGUCUUAACAUUUUUCUUUUAAAAGACA